rfam:Candidate division WOR_3 bacterium SM23_42 WORSMTZ_1114, whole genome shotgun sequence.
GUGGGUGUAGCUCAAUCGGUAGAGCAUUGGACUGUGGCUCCAACGGUUGGGGGUUCAAGUCCCCUCACUCACC